AGUGAACGCUGGCGGUAGGCCUAACACAUGCAAGUCGAACGGCAGCACAGGAGGGCUUGCUCUCUGGGUGGCGAGUGGCGGACGGGUGAGGAAUACAUCGGAAUCUACUUUUUCGUGGGGGAUAACGUAGGGAAACUUACGCUAAUACCGCAUACGACCUACGGGUGAAAGCAGGGGACCUUCGGGCCUUGCGCGAUUGAAUGAGCCGAUGUCGGAUUAGCUAGUUGGCGGGGUAAAGGCCCACCAAGGCGACGAUCCGUAGCUGGUCUGAGAGGAUGAUCAGCCACACUGGAACUGAGACACGGUCCAGACUCCUACGGGAGGCAGGAGUGGGGAAUAUUGGACAAUGGGCGCAAGCCUGAUCCAACCAUACCGCGUGGGUGAAGAAGGCCUUCGGGUUGUAAAGCCCUUUUGUUGGGAAAGAAAUCCAGCUGGCUAAUACCCGGUUGGGAUGACGGUACCCAAAGAAUAAGCACCGGCUAACUUCGUGCCAGCAGCCGCAGUAA
rnacentral:rRNA from 1 species